CCUACGGGUGGCAGCAGUGAGGAAUAUUGGUCAAUGGUCGCGAGCCUGAACCAGCCAAGCCGCGUGAGGGAAGACGGUCCUAUGUAUUGUAAACCUCUUUUGUCGGGGAGCAAAAGACGCUACGCGUGGCGGUCCGAGAGUAACCGAAGAAAAAGCAUCGGCUAACUCCGUGCCAGCAGCAGCGGUAAUACGGAGGAUGGGAGCGUUAUCCGGAUGUAUGGGGUUUAAAGGGUGAGCAAGCGGAAUGUAGAGUCAGCGGUAAAAUUGAGAGGCUCAACCUCGUCGAGUCGUGGACAAUGGUUUUCUUGAGUGCGCGAGAAGUAUGCGGAAUGCGUGGUGUAGCGGUGAAAUGCAUAGAUAGCACGCAGAACUCCGAUUGCGAAGGCAGCAUACCGGCGCUCAACUGACGCUCAUGCACGAAAGUGUGGGUAUCGAACAGGAUUAGAUACCCGGGUAGUC
rnacentral:rRNA from 1 species